rnacentral:rRNA from 1 species
AUUGAACGCUGGCGGCAGGCCUAACACAUGCAAGUCGAGCGUGCCGCGGACGGGAGAGUAAUGCCUGGGAAUAUGCCUUAGUGUGGGGGAUAACUAUUGGAAACGAUAGCUAAUACCCAAUACGCUAAGAUUAGCCCAGGUGGGAUUAGCUAGUUGGUGAGGUAAGGGCUCACCAAGGCGACGAUCUCUAGCUGGCCUGAGAGGGUGAUCGGCCACACUGGAACUGAGACACGGUCCAGACUCCUACGGGAGGCAGCAGUGGGGAAUAUGGGGCAAUGGGCGAAAGCCUGAUGCAGCAAUGCCGCGUGUGUGAAGAAGGCUUUCGGGUGGUAAAGUACUGUCAGUAGGGAAGCGUUACCUAAAGAAGAAGCACCGGCUAACUCCGUGCCAGCAGCCGCGGUAAUAC